rnacentral:rRNA from 1 species
CAUGCCGCGUGUGUGAAGAGGCCUUCGGGUUGUAAAGCACUUUUGUCCGGAAAGAAAACUUCCUCCCUAAUAUGGAUGGAGGAUGACGGUACCGGAAGAAUAAGCACCGGCUAACUACGUGCCAGCAGCCGCGGUAAUACGUAGGGUGCGAGCGUUAAUCGGAAUUACUGGGCGUAAAGCGUGCGCAGGCGGUCUGUUAAGACCGAUGUGAAAUCCCCGGGCUUAACCUGGGAACUGCAUUGGUGACUGGCAGGCUUUGAGUGUGGCAGAGGGGGGUAGAAUUCCACGUGUAGCAGUGAAAUGCGUAGAGAUGUGGAGGAAUACCGAUGGCGAAGGCAGCCCCCUGGGCCAACACUGACGCUCAUGCACGAAAGCGUGGGGAGCAAAC